rnacentral:rRNA from 1 species
AAGCGAGCGCAGGCGGUUUAAUAAGUCUGAAGUUAAAGGCAGUGGCUUAACCAUUGUUCGCUUUGGAAACUGUUAAACUUGAGUGCAGAAGGGGAGAGUGGAAUUCCAUGUGUAGCGGUGAAAUGCGUAGAUAUAUGGAGGAACACCGGUGGCGAAAGCGGCUCUCUGGUCUGUAACUGACGCUGAGGCUCGAAAGCGUGGGGAGCAAACAGGAUUAGAUACCCUGGUAGUCCGCACGGUAAACGAUGGAUGCCCGCUGUUGGUCUGAAUAGGUCAGCGGCCAAGCGAAAGCAUUAAGCAUCCCACCUGGGGAGUACGCCGGCAACGGUGAAACUCAAAGGAAUUGACGGGGGCCCGCACAAGCGGAGGAACAUGUGGUUUAAUUCGAUGAUACGCGAGGAACCUUACCCGGGCUUGAGUUGCGGAGGAAGGAUUUGGAGACAAUGACGCCCUUCGGGGCCUCUGUGAAGGUGCUGCAUGGUUGUCGUCAGCUCGUGCCGUGAGGUGUCGGCUUAAGUGCCAUAACGAGCGCAACCCCUCUCCUUAGUUGCCAUCAGGUCAUGCUGGGCACUCUGGGGACACUGCCACCGUAAGGUGUGAGGAAGGUGGGGAUGACGUCAAAUCAGCACGGCCCUUACGUCCGGGGCUACACACGUGUUACAAUGGCAGGUACAGAGAGACGGUCCCUUGCAAAAGGGAUCAAAUCCUCAAAGCCUGUCUCAGUUCGGACUGGGGUCUGCAACCCGACCCCACGAAGCUGGAUUCGCUAGUAAUCGCGCAUC